AUUAGAGUGGCGCACGGGUGAGUAACACGUGGAUAACCUGCCCUAGGGUCUGGGAUAACACUUCGAAAGGGGUGCUAAUACCGGAUAAGCUCACGACUUCUUCGGAGGAUGUGAGAAAAGAUUUAUUGCCUUAGGAUGGGUCCGCGUUCCAUUAGCUAGUUGGUGGGGUAAUGGCCUACCAAGGCUGCGAUGGAUAGCUGGUCUGAGAGGAUGAUCAGCCACACUGGAACUGAGACACGGUCCAGACUCC
rnacentral:rRNA from 1 species